CGUAGACACACACCCAGGGAAGACCCGGUGAAGACAGAGGGAGGGAUGGCCGUCCCACUGGGGCCAUCAAGGCUCCAAACUGGCUUCAAGUCCAGGGGCAGAAGGACUUCUGUCCACCACUGAAGCUGGAAGCCGCAGGGAAGGAUCGUCUCCCCUCAGGUCCUCAGAUCAAUGGAGGCAAAAAACCAGGAGAUCCCAUAAAUCCUGUUGAGCCUGUCACAGCUGCCAAAUUAUGCCCUGAUAAAGCUUUUGGUGGCUAAUGAUAUGGCCGUUCACCCGGCAUGGAUGCGACUGAGAGGGGGCUUUCUGGAGAGCAUCUGGCCCGCGAUGGAGACACUUGUCAUAGAGUGUUACCUGAAGGCUCUUUGGCUCUAACGAAGGGUGAAGAUUUGAACGUGAUUAUUUCUAAAUAAAUAAAUAAUAAGGAUAAUUUAAAAAUAAACAAAGAUCUGGAUUUAAAGGCUACAUAUUGUCCCCAGACCAAGAUUAACGAUUCUCAAAGAAUCCACGGUUGGGUCAGUGCACAGCCUUGUUGUGAGCCGUUGGUGGGGCCAGAGCUGCAUCCAUUUUUGUUUCCAUCCUGAGGAUGAUGUCAUUGCCCAAGAGGGCAGAACCCAGAGCAAGGUGGGGAAACUGAGCCAGAGCUAGCGGAUUAGUGUUGGAUCAAAUGGAGAGCCCCCUGAGCUGUGUGCCCGCUAAACAAUAGAUUUGACCCAGAAGAGUGAUUUAGAAUUAAAGUCAUACAGACUGCUGGUGACAGUGUGAACCCCUGAUUUCUUGGCUCACUUGGGGGGAUGUUCAAGAGGCACACCAAAGCUGGUUGGGAAAAGUCUGUGUCAGUCAUUACCCUUGCUGGAGCCCAGACAGGGUCAUCUGGCCACAGCAGCAGGCAGGCAGCCGAGACAAGAUUUCAGCACGAGGACGGUUUCCUGGAAGAAGCUUGGCUGAGAAGCUCCAUCUCUGUGUCCCAUGAGUACCUUUCAGAGCUUCCCUUUCCCUGGCCUCGACCUCCAGGAGCUUUGAAAAAAUGCUGGCAUUUUUAAGAUCCCCCCCAUGUCAAAAUAACACACACACACACACACACACACACACAAGCAACAAAUAAUAAGUAGAAAAGAGAUAAUGUUGAAAAGCAAGUUUCUCCCCUGAUACCCCCCAGCCCUCCCCCCAAAGUGACUUUAUCUAUUCCUCAUUUUAAUUCUUCCAGAGUUGGACCGUGCUGCUCUAGGAUUACACCUCUGCUCUUGGCUUUGUCAAUUUGGGGCACUUACCUUUUGACUCCUAACUAGAAAGAUAAGGCUUUAGCUCAUGCAGCUCCAUCCUUUCCCCCUCACCCUUUUCUGUCGUUUAUGUUUAUAACUGCUUUCUUGAGCCAGCAUGCACAUGCCAUAAAAUUCACCUUGUUCAAUUGUACAAGUCAGUGGUUCCUUAGCGUGUUCACAAAGUUGUGCAACCACGUCUAAAGCCAGCACGUUUUGCAUUUUGUCCCCCUCUAAGAAACCCUGUCUCCAUCAGCAGUCAGCCCUUCAUUCUUCCCUCCUCCCAACCCCUGGCAACUACUCAUUUCUCCACAUCCUCACCAACACAAGAUAUUUGUCUGUCUUUUUUUUCUCAU